rnacentral:rRNA from 1 species
UACGGGGGGGGCAAGCGUUGUUCGGAAUUACUGGGCGUAAAGGGCUCGUAGGCGGCCAACUAAGUCAGACGUGAAAUCCCUCGGCUUAACCGGGGAACUGCGUCUGAUACUGGAUGGCUAGAGUUUGGGAGAGGGAUGCGGAAUUCCAGGUGUAGCGGUGAAAUGCGUAGAUAUCUGGAGGAACACCGGUGGUGAAGGCGGCAUCCUGGACCAACACUGACGCUGAGGAGCGAAAGCCAGGGGAGCAAACGGG